CUACGGAGGGUGCGAGCGUUAAUCGGAAUUACUGGGCGUAAAGCGUGCGUAGGCGGUUUGCUAAGUCAGAUGUGAAAGCCCCGGGCUUUACCUGGGAACUGCAUUUGAUACUGGCAGACUAGAGUAUGAUAGAGGUGGGUAGAAUUCCUGGUGUAGCGGUGAAAUGCGUAGAUAUCAGGAGGAAUACCAGUGGCGAAGGCGGCCCCCUGGAUCAAUACUGACGCUGAGGUACGAAAGCGUGGGGAGCGAACAGGAUUAGAAACCCUAGUAGUCC
rnacentral:rRNA from 1 species